ACCCCCAGCCCCCCGUUUCGUGGGGCGAGCACUGCCCGUCCGCCGCCCAGCGCUUCCGUCCCGCGGGUGUCCAGGCCAGAGAGCCGGCCUCCAGCUGCUUUUUGGUGACUCCGAGGCGCGCAUGCUCAGCCGGGCCUUCCUGGGCCCCCGCCCCCCCCUUCCCGACUCUCUUCUUCCCGGUUCCGUGCCCCCAGCCCCGGGAUCGAGUAGGCACCGGGGCGCAGGGACCCGCGCACCUGGCGGCGCCGUGGGUCCCAUGGCCGAGCUCGGCCCGGAGCGCAGGACUUGGCCGCGAGCGCUCCGUGUCCCGGGCCCGCCCACGUGAUCCGGGGUGUGGCGUCCCCUCCCUCCCUAAUCCGCUGAAAGUCCUGGCGCCUCCGGGGAACUGAUCUGGCUGGCCACCAGGAUGUGAAUCCAGACUCACGAGGGUCCAGGAUGCCAGACUUCUACUCUAUGGCCAAGGGGAGAGGCAUUUAAAUGUGUUGGCCUCGUUGGACCCUCAGCCGACUUUCUGUGUUGGUGAAGAUUAGUCUGAAGCCUCAACUACCAGAUCCACUGGGACCUAAAGGAGGAGGAUGAUAUAGACCUUUUCUGACCCUGUGACUUCAAUCAAGCCCCCUCAUGAAUAUGCAUGUACCCUGAGAUUAAAGCUUCCCCGGGAAACACUGCUUUGGGAAAGGUCCCCUGUGUUCUCCCUACUUGCUGCAAAUGAUAAAUUGUUCUCCUGAUUUUGGCUUGGUUGUGUCUUUUGGCUGCACACCCAUCAAGAGGCGACCCCAGUUUUCAGGUAACACUCCUGGGGUCUGGCCUUGAUCUUAUGGGUCUGAAUUCACUUUAAGGAAUGCAAAGACUCUAGUGGCUUCAAAGUAUCAGGGACAAGGGUGUGGAUGGGUCUGGGAGGGAGGUGACAGAGCACAGCUCCUAUUAAGUGGCCCAGAGGUGGCUCAGUGGGCCAGGGAUGCAGGCACAGCUGGCCAAAAGCUCUGGCUCAGUGUUGGCUAAACACGCCAAGGAGAGAGGCCUCAGGAGGAACCACUGCCCACACCUGGAUCUUGUGCUUCCAGCCUCCAGGACGAGG